GUCAGGUGUGGUGGUGCACGCCUGUAAUCCCAGUGACUUGGGAGGCUGGGGUAGGAGGAUCAAAGAUUCGAGGCCAGCCUCAGCAACUUAGUGACAUCCUGUCUCAA
rnacentral:sRNA from 1 species